CCCGCUAUAGUUUAUUGAAAACGCUGAAUUGCAAAUUCGGAAAAGAAAUAAUAUUUUCUAGCGCGU
rnacentral:tRNA from 1 species